rnacentral:rRNA from 1 species
UGGGGAAUCUUGGACAAUGGGCGCAAGCCUGAUCCAGCCAUGCCGCGUGAGCGAUGAAGGCCUUAGGGUUGUAAAGCUCUUUCACCGGUGAAGAUAAUGACGGUAGCCGGAGAAGAAGCCCCGGCUAACUCCGUGCCAGCAGCCGCGGUAAUACGGAGGGGGUUAGCGUUGUUCGGAAUUACUGGGCGUAAAGCGCACGUAGGCGGACCAGAAAGUUGGGGGUGAAAUCCCGGGGGCUCAACCCCGGAACUGCCUCCAAAACUAUUGGUCUAGAGUUCGAGAGAGGUGAGUGGAAUUCCAAGUGUAGAGGUGAAAUUCGUAGAUAUUUGGAGGAACACCAGUGGCGAAGGCGGCUCACUGGCUCGAUACUGACGCUGAGGUGCGAAAGUGUGGGGAGCAAACAGGAUUAGAUACCCUGGUAGUCCACACCGUAAAACGAUGAAUGCCAGUCGUCGGGUAGCAUGCUAUUCGGUGACACACCUAACGGAUUAAGCAUUCCGCCUGGGGAGUACGGUCGCAAGAUUAAAA